CCUACGGGAGGCAGCAGUGGGGAAUAUUGGACAAUGGGCGCAAGCCUGAUCCAGCAAUGCCGCGUGAGUGAUGAAGGCCUUAGGGUCGUAAAGCUCUUUUACCAGGGAUGAUAAUGACAGUACCUGGAGAAUAAGCUCCGGCUAACUCCGUGCCAGCAGCCGCGGUAAUACGGAGGGAGCUAGCGUUGUUCGGAAUUACUGGGCGUAAAGCGUACGUAGGCGGUUAUUCAAGUCAGAGGUGAAAGCCCGGGGCUCAACCCCGGAACGGCCUUUGAAACUAGGUAGCUAGAAUCUUGGAGAGGUCAGUGGAAUUCCGAGUGUAGAGGUGAAAUUCGUAGAUAUUCGGAAGAACACCAGUGGCGAAGGCGACUGACUGGACAAGUAUUGACGCUGAGGUACGAAAGCGUGGGGAGCAAACAGGAUUAGAUACCCUGGUAGUCCACGCCGUAAACGAUGAUAACUAGCUGUUCGGGCACUUGGUGCUUGAGUGGCGCAGCUAACGCAUUAAGUUAUCCGCCUGGGGAGUACGGUCGCAAGNUUAAAACUCAAAUGAAUUGACGGCUGAGAGNGCGAGACGACACGAGGAGAG
rnacentral:rRNA from 1 species